rnacentral:miRNA from 1 species
CUUCCAGUAGCACCUUAGAGACCAACGAAGUUAGUCUUGGUCUCUAAGGUGCUACUGGAAG